rnacentral:rRNA from 1 species
AACCUCCGCAAUGUGAGAAAUCGCGACGGGGGGAUCCCAAGUGCCAUUCUUAACGGGAUGGCUUUUCUUAAGUGUAAAAAGCUUUUGGAAUAAGAGCUGGGCAAGACCGGUGCCAGCCGCCGCGGUAACACCGGCAGCUCUAGUGGUAGCUGUUUUUAUUGGGCCUAAAGCGUCCGUAGCCGGUUUAAUAAGUCUCUGGUGAAAUCCUGUAGCUUAACUGUGGGAAUUGCUGGAGAUACUAUUAGACUUGAGAUCGGGAGAGGUUAGAGGUACUCCCAGGGUAGAGGUGAAAUUCUGUAAUCCUGGGAGGACCGCCUGUUGCGAAGGCGUCUAACUGGAACGAUUCUGACGGUGAGGGACGAAAGUUAGGGGCGCGAACCGGAUUAGAUACCCGGGUAGUCCUAACUGUAAACGAUGCGGACUUGGUGUUGGGGUGGCUUUGAGCUGCUCCAGUGCCGAAGGGAAGCUGUUAAGUCCGCCGCCCGGGAAGUACGGUCGCAAGACUGAAACUUAAAGGAAUU